rnacentral:rRNA from 1 species
GACGAACGCUGGCGGCGUGCCUAAUACAUGCAAGUUGAGCGCUGAAGGUUGGUACUUGUACCAACUGGAUGAGCAGCGCACGGGUGAGUAACGCGUGGGGAAUCUGCCUUUGAGCGGGGGACAACAUUUGGAAACGAAUGCUAAUACCGCAUAAAAACUUUAAACACAAGUUUUAAGUUUGAAAGAUGCAAUUGCAUCACUCAAAGAUGAUCCCGCGUUGUAUUAGCUAGUUGGUGAGGUAAAGGCUCACCAAGGCGAUGAUACAUAGCCGACCUGAGAGGGUGAUCGGCCACAUUGGGACUGAGACACGGCCCAAACGCCUACGGGAGGCAGCAGUAGGGAAUCUUCGGCAAUGGACGAAAGUCUGACCGAGCAACGCCGCGUGAGUGAAGAAGGUUUUCGGAUCGUAAAACUCUGUUGGUAGAGAAGAACGUUGGUGAGAGUGGAAAGCUCAUCAAGUGACGGUAACUACCCAGAAAGGGACGGCUAACUACGU